rnacentral:rRNA from 1 species
GAUGAACGCUGGCGGCGUGCUUAACACAUGCAAGUCGAACGAAGUGGCGAACGGGUGAGUAACGCGUAAUCAACCUGCCCUUCAGAGGGGGACAACAGUUGGAACCGACUGCUAAUACCGCAUACUGACGGUGUGGAUUUCGGCUGAUUAGCUAGUUGGAGGGGUAACGGCCCACCAGGGCGAUGAUCAGUAGCCGGGCUGGGAGGAAGAACGGCCGGAGUGGGACUGGGACACGGCCCAGAAUAGUACGGGAGGGAGCAGUGGGGAAUCUGCCGCAAUGGACGAAAGUCUGACGGGGCAACGCCGCGUGAGUGAUGACGGCCUUCGGGGUGUAAAACUCUGUUAAUCGGGACGCGGUACCGGAAUAGAAAGCCACGGCUAACUACGUGCCAGCAGCCGCGGUAAUUC